AACGGCCGCGGUAUCUUGACCGUGUGAAGGUAGCGUAAUCAUUUGUCUUUUAAAUGAAGACCUGUAUGAAUGGCACAACGAGAGCUUAACUGUCUCACUCUCUUAGUCAAUGAAAUUGAUCUCCCCGUGCAGAAGCGAGGAUAAAAACAUAAGACGAAAAGACCCUAUGGAGCUUUAGAAUCUGAAACAGACCAAACAAACUUAAGUUUAACAUUUUGGAGCCUGCUUCUAAUUUCUUCGGUUGGGGCGACCAUGGAGAAAAACUAAACCUCCACGUAAAGAACACUCACAUUUCUUUAAAAUAAGAGCUACAACUCUAAUUUACAGAAGAUCUGUCUACAAAUGAUCCGGCACUAACAGCCGAUCAACGAAACAAGUUACCCUAGGGAUAACAGCGCAAUCCCCUUUUAGAGCCCACAUCGACAAGGGGGUUUACGACCUCGAUGUUGGAUCAGGACAUCCUAAU
rnacentral:rRNA from 1 species